rnacentral:rRNA from 1 species
CCUACGGGAGGCAGCAGUGGGGAAUAUUGGACAAUGGGGGCAACCCUGAUCCAGCCAUGCCGCGUGAGUGAAGAAGGCCAUCGGGUUGUAAAGCACUUUCAGUGAGGAAGAACGCCUGGGGGUUAAUAUCCAUCAGGAAAGACAUCACCCACAGAAGAAGCACCGGCUAACUCCGUGCCAGCAGCCGCGGUAAUACGGAGGGGGCGAGCGUUAAUCGGAAUUACUGGGCGUAAAGCGCGCGUAGGUGGCUUGAUAAGCCGGUUGUGAAAGCCCCGGGCUCAACCUGGGAACGGCAUCCGGAACUGUCAAGCUAGAGUGCAGGAGAGGAAGGUAGAAUUCCCGGUGUAGCGGUGAAAUGCGUAGAGAUCUGGAGGAAUACCAGUGGCGAAGGCGGCCUUCUGGACUGACACUGACACUGAGGUGCGAAAGCGUGGGUAGCAAACAGGAUUAGAUACCCGUGUAGUC